rnacentral:rRNA from 1 species
AUUGAACGCUGGUGGCAGGCCUAACACAUGCAAGUCGAACGAGUGGCGGACGGGUGAGUAAUGUCUGGGAAACUGCCUGAUGGAGGGGGAUAACUACUGGAAACGGUAGCUAAUACCGAAUACAAUCAGAAGUGCCCAGAUGGGAUUAGCUUGUUGGUGGGGUAACGGCUCACAAAGGCGACGAUCCCUCGCUGGUCUGAGAGGAUGACCAGCCACACUGGGUCGGAGACACGGUCAAGACUCCUACGGGAGUCAGCAGUGGGGAAUAUUGCACAAUGGGCGCAAGCCUGAUGCAGCCAUGCCGCGUGUAUGAAGAAGGCCUUCGGGUUGUAAAGUACUUUCAGCGGGGAGGCGUUACCCUCAGAAGAAGCACCGGCUAACUCCGUGCCAGCAGCCGCGGUAAUUC